CUUCCAAUGUCUCAGAUAGUCGAGUGGCUACCUUCACACGUGGAAGAAGCAUUAACUUAGCCCUUUCUCAUAGAGGACGACAAGCCUUGAAAGCUGUUGGCCUGGAAGAUCAGAUUGUAUCCCAAGGUAUUCCCAUGAGAGCAAGAAUGAUCCACUCUCUUUCAGGAAAAAAGUCUGCAAUUCCCUAUGGGACAAAUUCUCAGUAUAUUCUUUCUGUAAGCAGAGAAAAUCUAAACAAGGAUCUAUUGACUGGUAAGUCUAAUGUUCGAUUCACCAGUUGUCAUUUUGAGUAAAGCACAUGACACUAAUCUUGUCAUAUGAUUUAUUGGAUUUGUUUGCUGCUCCUUUUUAUGGGUUAUGAAGAGCAAGACUAUGUACACUACAAAGUCCUUC
rnacentral:sRNA from 1 species